UGCGAACUCCUACGGGAGGCAGCAGUGGGGAAUAUUGCACAAUGGGCGCAAGCCUGAUGCAGCGACGCCGCGUGAGGGAUGACGGCCUUCGGGUUGUAAACCUCUGUUAGCAUCGAAGAAGCGAAAGUGACGGUAGGUGCAGAGAAAGCGCCGGCUAACUACGUGCCAGCAGCCGCGGUAAUACGUAGGGCGCGAGCGUUGUCCGGAAUUAUUGGGCGUAAAGAGCUUGUAGGCGGUUUGUCGCGUCUGCUGUGAAAGGCCGGAGCUUAACUCCGUGUAUUGCAGUGGGUACGGGCAGACUAGAGUGCAGUAGGGGAGACUGGAAUUCCUGGUGUAGCGGUGGAAUGCGCAGAUAUCAGGAGGAACACCGAUGGCGAAGGCAGGUCUCUGGGCUGUAACUGACGCUGAGAAGCGAAAGCAUGGGGAGCGAACAGGAUUAGAAACCCCGGUAGUCCAGAGAA
rnacentral:rRNA from 1 species